rnacentral:misc_RNA from 1 species
AAAGUCGUAACAAGGUUUCCGUAGGUGAACCUGCGGAAGGAUCAUUAGUGAAUAUUGGGUGCUCUAACUUGUUAGAGACCCUACUUCAAACCAAACACUGUGCACUUUUAAUCCUAGGGAUGCUUUGUACUUGGUUAUAUUGCUGAACAUGGAUUUUUAUCAACUUAAACACCAGUCAAAGAAUGUAACAAAAAUUAUAACAAAAAAAACUUUCAACAACGGAUCUCUUGGCUCUC